rnacentral:rRNA from 1 species
AGAUCAAUUUGUUGGUCGUGCCUCGGUACGUACUGGCAAUUUUGGUUUCUCCCUUCUGAAGAACCAUGAUGUCAUUAAUUUGGUGUCUUGGGGAAUCAGGACUGUUACUUUGAGAAAAUUAGAGUGUUUAAAGCAGGCAUACGCUUGAAUACAUUAGCAUGGAAUAAUGAAAUAGGACGUUUGAUUCUAUUUUGUUGGUUUCUAGGAUUGACGUAAUGAUUAAUAGGGAUAGUUGGGC